rnacentral:lncRNA from 1 species
AAAAUGACGCGUUCUCUCUUCGCAAAUCCCCCUUUUAACUCGAAAAUCACGCGUUUUCUCUUUGAGAAUCCUACAUUUAAGCGAAAAUCACGCGUUUUCUUUUCGAGAAUCCCCCAUUUAACCGAAAAUCACGCGUUUUCUCUUUGAGAAUCCCCCAUUUAACCCGAAAAUCACGCGUUUUCUCUUCGGAAAUCCCCCAUUUAUCCGAAAAUCACGCGUUUUCUCUUCGCAAAUCCCCCAUUUAACCGAAAAUCACGUGUUUUAUCUUUGAGAAUCCCCCAUUUAACCCGAAAAUCACGCAUUUUCUCUUUGAGAAUCCCCCAUUUAACCCGAAAAUCAUGCGUUUUCUCUUCGCAAAUCCGCCAUUUAACCCGAAAAUCACGUGUUUUCUCUUCGCAAAUCCCCCAUUUAACCGAAAAUCACGUGUUUUCACGUCGCAAAUCUUCCAUUCUGCCCGAAAAUCACGCAUUUUCUCUUCACAAAUCCGCCAUUUAACCCGAAAAUCACGUGUUUUCACUACGCAAAUCUUUCAUUUUACCCGGAAAUCACGCAUUUUCUCUUCAGAAAUCCCCGAUUUUACCUGAAAAUCACGCAUAUCCUCUUCGCAAAUCCCCCAUUAAAGCAAAAAUCACACAUAUCCUCUUUGCAAAUACCCCUUUUAACCCGAAAAUCACGUGUUUUCUCUUCGAGAAUCCCCCAUUUCACCCAAAAAUCACGCGUUUUGUCUUCGAGAAUCCCCCAUUUAACCCGAAAAUCACGCGUUUUCUCUUCCCAAAUCCCCCAUUUAACCAAAAAUCACGUGUUUCUCUUCACAAAUCCCCCAUUUAAACCGAAAACCACGCGUUUUUCUUUGAGAAUCCCCCAUUUAACCCGAAAAUGACGCGUUUUCUCUUCCAGAAUCCCCCUUUUAACUCGAAAAUCACGCAUUUAAUCUUCGCAAAUACCACUUUUAAGCGAAAAUCACGCGUUUUCUCUUUGAGAAUCCCCCAUUUAACCCGAAAAUCAUGCGUUUUCUCUUCGCAAAUCCGCCAUUUAACCCGAAAAUCACGUGUUUUCUCUUCGCAAAUCCCCCAUUUAACCGAAAAUCACGUGUUUUUCACGUCGCAAAUCUUCCAUUCUGCCCGAAAAUCACGCAUUUUCUCUUCACAAAUCCGCCAUUUAACCCGAAAAUCACGUGUUUUCACUACGCAAAUCUUUCAUUUUACCCGGAAAUCACGCAUUUUCUCUUCAGAAAUCCCCGAUUUUACCUGAAAAUCACGCAUAUCCUCUUCGCAAAUCCCCCAUUAAAGCAAAAAUCACACAUAUCCUCUUUGCAAAUACCCCUUUUAACCCGAAAAUCACGUGUUUUCUCUUCGAGAAUCCCCCAUUUCACCCAAAAAUCACGCGUUUUGUCUUCGAGAAUCCCCCAUUUAACCCGAAAAUCACGCGUUUUCUCUUCCCAAAUCCCCCAUUUAACCAAAAAUCACGUGUUUCUCUUCACAAAUCCCCCAUUUAAACCGAAAACCACGCGUUUUUCUUUGAGAAUCCCCCAUUUAACCCGAAAAUGACGCGUUUUCUCUUCCAGAAUCCCCCUUUUAACUCGAAAAUCACGCAUUUAAUCUUCGCAAAUACCACUUUUAAGCGAAAAUCAAGCGUUUUCUCUUCGAAAAUCCCCCAUUUAACCCGAAAAUCACACGUUUUCUCAAAUCCCCCAUUUAAUUGAAAAUCACGAGUUUUCUCUUCGAGAAUCCCCCAUUUAAACCGAAAAUCACGCAUAUCCUCUUCGCAAAUCCACCAUUUAAGCGAAAAUCACGCAUUUUCUCUUCGCAAAUCCCCCAUUUAACCCGAAAAUCACGCGUUUUCUCUGCGAGAAUCCCCCAUUUAACCCAAAAAUCAUGCCUUUUCUCUUCGCAAAUCCGCCAUUUAACCCGAAAAUCACGUGUUUUCUCUUCGCAAAUCCGCCAUUUAACCCGAAAAUCACGUGUUUUCUCUUCGCAAAUCCCCAAUUUAACCGAAAAUCACGUGUUUUCACGUCGCAAAUCUUCCAUUUUACCCGAAAAUCACGCAUUUUCUCUUUGCAAAUCCCCCAUUUAACCCGAAAAUCACGUGUUUUCACUUUGCAAAUCUUUCAUUUUACCCGGAAAUCACGCAUUUUCUCUUCGCAAAUCCCCCUUUUAUCUCGAAAAUCAAGCGUUUUCUCUUUGAAAAUCCCCCAUUUAACUGAAAAUCACGCGUUUUCUCUUCGGAAAUCCCCCAUUUAACCCGAAAAUCACGCGUUUUGUCUUCGAGAAUCCCCCAUUUAACCCGAAAAUGACGCGUUAUCUCUUCCCAAAUCCCCUUUUUAACUCGAAAAUGACACAUAUCCUCUUCGGAAAUCGCCCAUUUGAGCGAAAAUCACGCGUUUUCUCUUCGCAAAUCCCCCAUUUAACCCGAAAAUCACACGUUUCCCAUUCGGGAAUCCCCCAUUUAACCUGAAAAUCACGCCUUUUCUCUUCGAGAAUCGUCCAUUUAACCCAAAAAUCACGUGUUUUCUCUUCCCAAAUCCCACAUUUAAGUGAAAAUCACGUGUUUUCUCUUCGAGAAUCCCCCAUUUAACUUGAAAAUCACGCGUCUUCUCUUCGUGAAUCCCCCAUUUAACCCGAAAAUCACACGUUU